UCUAGCAGGACAAACAUGAUCAGUCAUGGACUGGCUACCUUUUACUAGACUAUCACAUGAGCAAACAUUUCUUUCAGUGGCCAUGUAGUAAUGGACUGGCUGCCUUUAAGAAAGUUUAUCCCAUGUGAAAACACCUUGCUCUUCUUUUUUCUAGUGUCGCGACUUUUUGAAUAGUCAAUGUUGCUUCCAUCCUCUCUCUUUUAAUCUCCAUGAUAGCAAGGGAUGAAAAUGUUAAGUGUGAUUUGCUAAGCACUGAUACCUUUCCCAUCCACAAAACUAGUUGAGAUGUUUUCUGAAGACCUCUUCAAACCAACCCUCAUGAUGUUCUAAUGUCAGUUCAGUAUAAGGAAACAAUGAAUGUGUGACAGAAAGUGUGGUUAAUUAGGU